ensembl:lncRNA
CCUGAGAACAGAUUCCAGCAGCAUGUCCAGCUGUGAGAAGAAGCCGAGGCCACAGAGUUCAGCUCCAGCAGCCUCCUCACUGCUGAUCAACCUGCUGGAGCUGAACUCUGUGGCCUCGGCUUCUUCUCACAGCUGGACAUGCUGCUGGAAUCUGUUCUCAGGGUCUCCUGGAUCUGCUUCCUGCUCCUCAGCUCUGGAGCUUGUUACCCUUUUCUAAGUAAAGGUCAAACAGGUUCUGGAGGAGCUGGUGGAGGAACUGGAGGAGGAGCUGGCUCUGGUGGCUCUGGGGGAUCUGGUGGAGGAGCUGGCUCUGGUGGUUCUGGGGGAUUUGGUGGCUCUGGGGGAUCUGGUGGUUCAGGAGGCUCUGGUUUCUUCAGCAGUUCUUUGCCCUUUGGAUUUGCAGGAUUUACUCCUUUGAUUAACUACCCACAGGGGUUCUCCUACGAUAUAAAUGACUUGAGACCAAGGUUUGUCCGUCUCCCAGACCCCUCAGUCUGGAUCCCUGAUAACAUUCCCACCGACCCCUUCCCAUUGGUUGUUCGUGGUCCUACGUCCUACAUCGUCCAGUCCAGUAAUGGCUACCAGCGAGCCAGAGAACUCCUCUCCCACUCUAAAUACUCCCCAGAUGACUUUGGCCCGUUUUUCUCUCCGGUGAACCCGGGAGAUCCCAGCCAAGGACCUGGAACAGGAACUGGAACCAAGGUCUAAGGAGGUGGAACUGAUCAGCAGAACCUCCAAGAAACUACAAAGUGAUCUUUAAUAAACCUAAAGUAAACCAUGAAUCUGAGUUUGU